rnacentral:rRNA from 1 species
UACGUAGGGCGCAAGCGUUGUCCGGAAUUACUGGGCGUAAAGCGUGCGCAGGCGGUUUGUUAAGUCCGUUGUGAAAGCCCCGAGCUCAACUUGGGAAUUGCAGUGGAUACUGGCAGGCUGGAGUACGGUAGAGGAAGGUGGAAUUCCCGGUGUAGCAGUGAAAUGCGUAGAGAUCGGGAGGAACACCAGUGGCGAAGGCGGCCUUCUGGACCAGUACUGACGCUCAUGCACGAAAGCGUGGGGAGCGAACAGG